rfam:Gossypium arboreum cultivar AKA8401 contig_95262_1, whole genome shotgun sequence.
AACCCAUGGUGAGGGAAUCUUCUCAAUAAGUCUUUAUACCUCUCUCAUGCAUCAUAUAGGGUCUCUAAGUCCAUCUAUACAAAGGAAGAGAUAUCAUUCCUCAACUU